AAAACAGACGAUAGGAUCAAUAUAAGGAUGAUGAAGCUCCGAAAAUUACAAGAGAUAGUUAUCAGAAUGAGUGUUGAUACUUUAUGCGGAUCUGGGUUACGAUCACGUGUUUAUUUACUACGUGCCUUGACUUAGAUAGGACACCCGAAUAUUGAAGCAAAGGUUUGUGAACUUCUUGCCGCGCAUGCGCAUCUCAUACCAUUGCUUGCAAAGAUAUUGAAACCGAGCUUCAUCGUGGUCUUAGACGAUGGCUGGGCCCAGUCAUUUUGGACAGAAGGUGGUUAGGAGACCUAAAUUUGAGAAGAUCAUAAAGUUGGUGUCACAAGGAGACGCUAUUAGCCCAUUUCUAUCGUCUGCCCAAAUCACUAAUCUUCCGGUAGUAAACCAGCGAUGGUACAGAGCAAUAAAGACUGUUGAGAAUGCCAACGACGUACUUAUGGACUAGAAAAUCCGUUUUAAG